GACGGACGCUGGCGGCGUGCCUAAUACAUGCAAGUAGAACGCUGAAGGAGGAGCUUGCUUCUCUGGAUGAGUUGCGAACGGGUGAGUAACGCGUAGGUAACCUGCCUGGUAGUGGGGGAUAACUAUUGGAAACGAUAGCUAAUACCGCAUAAUAGCAGUUGUUGCAUGAUAACUGUUUGAAAGGUGCAAUUGCACCGCUACCUGAUGGACCUGCGUUGUAUUAGCUAGUUGGUGGGGUAACGGCUCACCAAGGCGACGAUACAUAGCCGACCUGAGAGGGUGAUCGGCCACACUGGGACUGAGACACGGCCCAGACUCCUACGGGAGGCAGCAGUAGGGAAUCUUCGGCAAUGGACGGAAGUCUGACCGAGCAACGCCGCGUGAGUGAAGAAGGUUUUCGGAUCGUAAAGCUCUGUUGUAAGAGAAGAACGAGUGUGAGAGUGGAAAGUUCACACUGUGACGGUAUCUUACCAGAAAGGGACGGCUAACUACGUG
rnacentral:rRNA from 1 species